UACGGAGGGGGCUAGCGUUGUUCGGAAUUACUGGGCGUAAAGCGCACGUAGGCGGCUUUGUAAGUUAGAGGUGAAAGCCCAGGGCUUAACCCUGGAAUUGCCUUUUAAGACUGCAUCGCUAGAAUCGUGGAGAGGUGAGUGGAAUUCCGAGUGUAGAGGUGAAAUUCGUAGAUAUUCGGAAGAACACCAGUGGCGAAGGCGACUCACUGGACACGUAUUUGAACGCUG
rnacentral:rRNA from 1 species